GGUACCGUCGAUACUCUGGAAUAUUAAUCCAAAAUACUUUCGUCCCUCCCGACAGAGGUUUACGACCCGAAGGCCUUCAUCCCUCACGCGGCGUUGCUGUGUCAGGGUUUCCCCCAUUGCACAAGAUUCCCGA
rnacentral:rRNA from 1 species